UCUCACAAAAUAACUGACUAAAUAAAAAAAAUGCAAAAUAUCAGCAAUUAAGCUGAGGUCUAGUUCGAGAAUCUCAACCUUCUUUUGACAGGUGUCCCAAAAUGACAGAUCCCGAAAUACGAGUAGUCAAUACAGAUACUCCUACGUCCUAACGCCUUCUUUUCAGAUACUCCAAAUUUAUGUGGAAAUUAGACAGAAGUAUUUAAAUUUUAUUUUUUUA
rnacentral:lncRNA from 1 species